rnacentral:lncRNA from 1 species
GGGUUUUCCACUGGAGUACUGACAACACAAUAACUGUUUCAAGUUUUAUCGUACAAGAUAAAUUUUAUUAAAAUGUUAACGAUAUGAUCAGAAGUUAAGAUGAAUAAAAUCAACAAAUAAAUUCAAACAAAUGUGUGUACAAGCGACUGGGACUUAUUCAACAUACAGCAAUAGAAAUUUUACCAGGGGCGAUAGACUAAAUUAAAAAGAACAAAAAGAAAGUUCAACAGGAGCCUGUAUAACUGUUGAGAUCUCCCCAUACAGCUUCCUCUACUUCUCCCCAUACAGCUUCCUCUACCUCCCCAUGAUUUUCAUCAUGCAAAAUACAGUAGCACCUGUAUCAACGGAAGUCACUUAAGGUGAGUUUCCAGCAUAUUUCAUGGCAAAAGGAGUAUGAGGCUCCAAUCUACUCUAUCUUCAUCUACAGUGCUCAUGUUGGCUAUCACAUAGAACAAUGUCUCUAGUUCUAGUUAUCUACUAAAACCUGCUCAACUUAACAAUCUCAAGUUCAAACUCCUACUGUAUUCAGCAACUCCUUAAGUGAUUGAGGUAUCUGAUUGAUGAGAGUAUCAUAUCAGUGGAAAUCAACAAUUCUAAAAAUGACAAAUGAUGCCUCAAUAUGGUGAAGGACGAGGGUCAUGGAUUCUAAGGCCUGAGUCCACACGUCAACAUUGGUCCAAAUAUAUGUCGGUUGCCACAUAAUCGAAGCACGCAUUACUACUAUCUUCAUAAGGCCGGGUAUUAUAUAAGCUCUAUUAGUGAAAUUUCACUUUGAAGUAUGGGUGUCUAACGGGCAAGGUCAGCCCGUUUUCGGACCGGCUCAGACCGGUUAAAAUCGGAACUGGCCCGGACCGGUACAAGGGGGCCGGGUGGGGCUGGGUUAAAGGAGUAGGAGGUUUGGUCUGUUCACAUUUUGUCAACCGGUUAACCGGACCGGUCAAACCUAGUCAACGUAAAUUACUAUCGAACCGGUUAACCGGCCCGGCCCGGUUUAAAAGCUAUAUUUCAUUUUUAUUUUAUUUAUUUUUUAAGGUUUUAGAGUCUAAGACAAUGCAAAACCUUUGAAUUUACUCUUUUUUCGUUAAUUUACUUGUUGUUAAAUGUAAACCUUUCAAUUUGUAAGUUUGAAUUUUGAAAUAAAUGUAGAACUUGCAAUUUAUAAGUGCAAUUUUUUUCCAUCUACAUUGUAUUCUUUAUAUUUUUACUUUAUAUUAAUAUAAAUUACAAUAGUUAUACAAAAUACAAAAAAAAAUAAAAAAAACACUAACCCGGCCCGUCCUGUCCCCUUGUUCCCGUAACCCUUACGGUUCAUUUUUUUACCCGGAUGAACCCGAACCCGUUAAACCCGGUAAGCCCCAACCCGUAACCGGCUCGGACCACAACCCGUACGGUUACUAAUUUUCCCUACCCAGCCUGGCCCGGCCCACCCGUUAGACACCUAUACUUCGAAGAACAAAACGCCUCCAAUUAUCUCAUGGAAAAACACACGAGGACAACAUAAAAGGGCCUCCAAUUCUUGAGAAAUUAUUUGUCAAGAUGUAAGAUUUUUUAUUUUUUUAUUUUAAAUUUCAACCAGUUUAUUAGACUUGAUAUAUCUAUGAUUUUUUUUGGUUCAAGUCUAAUAAAUCAUAGAUGAACCAAAAAAAGAAAAAGAAAAUCAUAGAUAUAUCAAGUAUAAUAAACAUGGUUGAAAUUUCAAAAAAAAAAAAAAACUUACAACUUGACAAAUAGUUUCUCCAAAAUCUUCCAUUUGACUGUAAAAAGUAAAAAAACAAAAAAGGAACAUGUGAACGGUAGAGCUAACACUGGAUCUUUUACACACAAAACAUAUGUCGUUAUCUAUGAGAGCCAAACAUACACAUUAUCACAAAGGAUAGAGUUUCAAACUCAUGUCUAUUAUAACAUUAAGCAUGGAAUUAGGCUAUUAUAUGCUAACAAGACCUCUAAAAGGAAAUGUUAUUUAUGUACGUAACAACAUUCAAAAGUUGCUGCUAAAACGUAAAGGUAACCAACUCUUCUGCCAAGUUUUGGCAACAGUAAUAUUGUUGGCAAAGAAUUUGAUUUAUCGCAAGAAUAAUUUUUGUUGUGGAAUGUCUCCAUAAGUCACAUCUAACAUAUGGCAACAAAAAAAAAACUGUUGGCAAAUGCCUUCUUUUUUGUAGUGAUCUGUUAACUAAAAUUUGUUUCAUGCGAGGUAUUUAAAAGUCUUAUAGGCAUGUUUUCUAACUCAUAACAGAGUAUAUUUGUAUAUUUGUUCUAUAUUUCAUAGCCAUCCUUAACAGUCAAACAUGAUUUUCUCUUAAGAUCUUGCCUUCUAGUGAAAGAAUCAAGAAUGUCAUUGUGGAGACGCAUCACAUAUCCUAAACAUGUUGAACAGUUUUCAAAAAUUGAGGAAUUCCAGAAAUCAAUAGAAAAGCACAGAGACAUGAUAUCUAGACUAAUGUUUUGAGCUUAGCAUGAUAUUACUUCACCGAAACUAAUAGCAUAUUACUCAAGAUUUCAUGAACAGAAUUUUCUAAUCAUGUUGUUAAAGUACGGUGCAACAUAUAGGCAAUUCCGAAUUUGAUUAAAGUUAAAGAGUACCCAUCUAAUUAAUUCUAAGUUGAAUUAGGGCACCUAAAUUGAUUGUAGUAAUAUAAUAAAGUAUAACUUUGUUAAUGGUCUACUUAACCUAAAUAUUUUAGGUAAGAGUUCAAUUAAUCUAAAGAGAAUGUUUUUAAGGCACCCUUUAAGAUACCUUAUUAAGACGGUUACCAACCGAACUUCAAUUAUUAAGGCCAAGUGCAAAUGUUAAGAUGAAAUAUAAUAGCUUAGAAAAAAUUGUUAAGUGAGUAGAUUGAUCAUGAUUAAACUAGGUGAUUAAUUAAGAAGCAAUAAUUUUGUGGACUCGGUAAAUUCAAAAUAACAUUUGAGACUAUGAGGGUGUUUGGCUAAUCUAGCUUAUAAGCAUUUUUUGGCUUAUCUACGCGUUUGGUAAAAUUAAAAGUGCUUAUAAGCAUUUUUUGGCUUAUCUACGCGUUUGAUAAAAUUAAAAGUGCUUAUAAGCCAAAAAUAAGCCAAAAGUUGGUCUCCCCCAACUUAUCAAAUUUCAGCUUAUAAGCACUUUAGAUUUGACCAAAAUAUUUACUAUUUUAUCCCUAAAGUACUUCUUUUUAAAACAAAACUCUUCGUACACCCAAUUCUUCAGCUGCUUAUUAUUAAUUUCAACACUUUUAUCCAAACACGUAACUGCUUAUUUUUUAAAUUAGCUUCAGCACUUAAAAGUGCUUUUCAGCUACUCUAAAUCAGCUAAGCCAAACGGGCUCUAUAUGUGAAAGCCACGAAACUUGAUAUGAAAAGCAUCAUUUUUUUUAGCAAAGGUACUAAAGAUAAUUUGAUAUAUUUUCUUUUUGUAAAGAACUUGUCUUUGACUUAUUUUUUUUUUUUAAAAAAAAUAGCCAAGGCCUCAAGUAUACCCCAAUCUAAAAGAAAAUCGUUAUCAGUGAGCGUCAAGUUCUACCUGUCCAAGGAAGGCUGAAUUUUAACUAAGUUAGAACUAAUAAAAUAACUAUAAACUUCACCAUGCACAUAACUCCAACCAAGUAAGUGUCAGAUAUAAAAUUCACAAGAAAGGAAUUGCAAGGAAAUUGUAGUAAAGCAUAACAUGAUGUCACUAUUCCCUCGCUCUCUUUCAAUUUUCUGUUCGGAUGCAUUUUGAGAGGGCGAGAGAGCGGCGUGAGGAAGAAUGAAGGCGAGAUGCUGGUAUCGGGCCGGGCAGCAACAUUGAGUCUACAAAGAGACUCCUCGCAGCUCUGGUGUGUUUAUGCAAAACAAAGAAAGAAAUAAAGGAAAUUAGAAAGGAGAAUUUGAUUCUUGACACAAAAUAAAGAAAGAAACAUCAUGUUCAGCUUUGCGUCAUUUAUAAACUGAAGAAUCUUCACCAUCCAUAAUAGAGAGGGGCUUAACAAAACGACCGGCCCUCGCUCUGUUUUCCUCAUUUCUGCUUCUUUAUGCUUUGUUCAUCUGUGUUAUAUGGUGCCGGGUUGGUUGGUUCGAGUUCGGAAUGGUUUUGGAAAGGUUUGAGACACUUAGUCCUUUUUGGGUAAGCUUAAGUUGGAAAAGUCAACCGGAUGUUGACUUAUGUGAAAUAGGUUUCGGAUGUGAAUUUCGAUGGUUCGAAUAGCUUCGGGAGGUGAUUUGGGACUAGGAGCGAGAUCGGAAUGUGUUUUGGAGGUCCGGAACAGAUUUAGGCUUGAAUUGGCGAAAUUGGAAUUUUGACGUUUUCCGGUUGAUAGGUGACAUUUUGAUAUAGGGGUCGGAAUAGAAUUCCGGAAGUUGGAGUAGGUCCGUCAUGUCAAUUGUGACGUGUGUGCAAAAUUUCAGGUCAUUCGGGCGAAGUAUGAGAGACUUUUUGAUCAAAUGCAGAAUUCAAAAGUUUUGGAGUUCUUAAGCUUGAAUCCAUGGUUGAUUGGUUGUUUCGAUGUUGUUUUAGGUGUUUCGAAGAUUGGUAUAAGUUUGGAUGGCGGUAUGUGACUUGUUCAUACUUUUGGUUGAGGUCCCGGGGGCCUCGGGGUGAUUUCGGAUGGUUGACGAGAGAUUUGGCGUGUGAGAUUUGCAGUUGAAGCUGCUGAACCACUGUCAUAACCGCAUCUGCGGCUUGGGGACCACAGGUGCGGGACCGCUGAAGCGGAAGGCUAGCCGCAUAUGCGGACGUUGGCGUGAAGGGCUGAAGCGCAAGUGCGGAUGAUUGGUCGCACCUGCGAGACCGCAGGUGCGGAUGGUGAGACGCAGGUGCGGAAUUUUGGUUUUAAGUGAAAACCGCAGAUGUGGUGCUUUGGCCGCAGAUGUGGUACCGCAUGUGCGGUGUAUGGACCGCAGGUGCGAAAAGUCUGGGUCAGAAAGUAUAAGAGGUUUCCUUCGCGAAUUUGGGUUAUUUUUCAUAACAUUUCAAACGGGAAGAAGCUUUGGGGAGCAAAUUCAAGGGAGGAUUCAAGAGGGUUUCUUAGAGGUAAGGUCUUUGGUCCCUAAACUCGUUUUUAUGAUGAUUUUUAAGGUUGUAAGCUUGAAAUCCAUGGGAAAAUUAGUAGCUAAUUGGGGGUUAGGGCUUGGAAAACAUGAGGCCUAAAAUUAGGGAUUUGAGGGGUCAUUUGUGGUCGGAUUUUGGUACUUUUAGUAUGAAUGAACUCGUGGGGUAAUAAGGAUUCUAUUGAUGUAAAUUUUGUCGGAUUCCGAGAUGUGGACCCAGGGGUCGGGUUUGGUCAAUUUCGGGAUUUGUGUUGUAAUUUGAUUAUUUUUGCAUAAGUUUCGUUCCCUUAGCAUAUUUUGACGUCAUGAUUCUGAUUUUUGGAUAGAUUCGACGCGAGUUGAGGCCAAGUCGAGAGGCAGGGGCGUCACGAAGUAGUAUUUCGUCCGGUUUGAGGUAAGUAACCAUUGUAAAUCUGGACCUAAGAGUAUGAAGCUCCGGUAUUUCGUAUCAUUUUGAUAAAUAAGGUGGCACACAUGGUAGGUGACGAGCGCGUGGGCGUGCAAUGGUAGGGAUUUGUGACUUGGUCCGUCCCGUAGCAGCUAUUAAGCCGCGUAUUUGAUUUGAAAUCUUAUGGUAUUCCAUAUUUUAGAGAUUGAUACUAUAUUUUGGGUUGUACGCCAUGUUUGGGGCCUUGUGCCGACCUUUUUAGACCCUUAGGGGUAUUUUUACUUUUUCCUCACUCUGUUUGAUUUGAAAGCAUAUCCUCAGUCAUGUUUUACCUGUUAUUUGUUUAAAACUGAUUUUAUCACUCUAUUUCUAUAUAUGAAAAUGUUUGGGCGGAGUUCCCUGAUUUUACCGUUACGCCCGAGUGGCCGUGAGGUUAAUGACUGAGAGAGGUUUAGGACCUAAUGGUGAGGAUUAUAUGUCUAUUGUGGAUUGGGCUACACGCCGCAACGAAAUUAUAUAUACAUGGAUCGGGCUGCACGGCGCAACGAUAUACAUAUGGAUCGGGCUGCACGCCGCAGCUAUAUAUAUUGGGUCGGGCUGCGCGCCGCAACGAUAUGAUGCUUGAGCUGUAGGAGCCCCUCCGGAGUCUGUACACCCCCAGUGAGCGUAGUCGACUAUAAACUAUGGAUCGGGAUGUACGCCGCAACGGUUAUUAUAAUUAAUAUUAUUAUAAGAUAUUAUUGAGCCGGAGUGCUGAGUGUGAGUAAGAUGUGACUGAGUGUUGAAUCACGAGUGACUGAGAGGCUUGCCCGAGAGGCUAUAUUGUGAGUGAUACCUUGCCCGAGGGGCCCGUUUAUGACAUUUUGCUGUUUCACUCUUCUUUUAUACUGAGUCUCUGUUGAAAGAUGUUGAAUAAAUGAUUUCAAAGUAUUUCAAUUGAAACUGAAAUUUUUACGAAGUAACUGGCUAUUAAACUGUUGAAUUUGACUUGAUAUUCUGUUGAACACUCUUAUAUGAUUUUAAACUGCUCGUCACUGCACUCAGACUUUAUUUACUUUAGUUACUUACUGAGUUGGCGUACUCACUUUACUCCCUGCACCUUGUGUGCAGAUUCAGGUGCCCGCGCAACAGAGUGAGGGUUCCCAGCACUCUCAGAGCAUUACCGGAGACUGCAAGGUAGCUGCACGGCAUUCGCAACCCUGCUUUCCUCCAUCUUAUCUUAGUUUUUCUGCUAUUUCAGACUUAUGAUGUAUUAUUCAGUCAGUUUGGGUUUUAUUUAGAGGCUCUCGACUUGUGACACCGGAUUGUUGGGCUGUGUUGGUAUUCUGUACUGGUUUUUCCGCAUGUUCUGUUUUACUCAUCUAUUUCAUAUGACGAAUUUGAGAAUUAUUCGAUACUAGAAAAUGAUUUUUUUAUAAAAGAUUUUGUUGUGGUAAAUAUUCGGUUGGCUUGUCUAGUACUGUGAUAGGCGCCAUCACGACCGGGGCAUUUGGGGUCGUGACACAAACCUGUAUCAGAUGUUAUACUUGAAAUGAAAUGACAGAUUCUUAAGUGAAAUGCUGAAUUUGGGACAAACAACCUCACUACAAUAUCAAUUUAACAGAAUGUUCGUGACACUUAAACAUGUAUCCGAUGUUAUACUUGAAAUAAAAUGACAGAUUCUUAAGUGAAAUGUUGAAUUUGGGACAAACAACCUCACUACAAUAUCCAUUUAACAGAAUGAUAUUUAUUUAUUUAUAUAUAUAUGUUUGUUAUCCCGGGCAAGUUGAGCUCUAUAUGGUACACAAAGUUCUUUUAAAGUAACAUGAACAUAUAGAAUUAUUUACCUCUUUAGUUAUUGAAUCCUAAAAGAACAUGGUAUCUAGUCAUUCUUAAAACCAUCUUUUCUACUAUUUGAAAGCACAACAACAUCUCAACAAGGUAACUCAAGUAUGCAACGGUUAAACUCCUCAAAGAUUAGUAUUAUUAUCUUCGAAUAUAGUUUCAAGUAGAGAAUGUGUAAUAUUCAUAUGAUGCCACAGAAAGAGACCAAGGAAUGUGAACUUAAAGAGAAUUCUAAACAAAACUUCAAGUUGACGGUCAAGAAUCAGGACAUCUUCAUAUAUGUUCUCAAUCAAACAAUGCACAAACGGCAAUGCCGCCAAUCAUAAGGAACCUAAACAUGAUCUCCAGAUUCACGAAUCGACAUCACAAAAUGAAACCUUAUGUAUUCCUAUAAACAUUUUGUCAAACAUUCAUCAAUCAAGAUUUUUAACAUACGGCCAGAAAAUUAAAUCCUAAUGGCAUAAUUUCUACACAGGGAAAAUUUUAACUUCUGGCUUCUAAUUAACAGAGUGAACCAUUGCACGUCACAUACUACCAGUAAAGAAAGAAAGGGCUUGAGUUUGGGAGUAACUGACUGUUUGCGGGGCAGUAAAUCCGGAGCUUCGGCCUCGGAUCUAUCUCUUCUUCACGAAUGAGAUGUGGACUCGAACAACUCAUAUGCGAAAGUCGUCCCUUUAAAGUGAAAGAACGACUAAGAGUUAAUGUUUUAGGGGAAGUAGAGGCGGCUAAAGUAUAUAAAAAUGGAUAAGAGGCAACUGAAGAAUCCCCCUUUACUUGUAGAAAACAAUAAUAUUUAUAGGGGAAAGGUCUAGAAUUUUUGGAUGAAAGUUUGAGAGGGAUUUCAAAAUCGAGUCAAC